UGAGUAACGCGUGGGAAUCUACCCAUCUCUACGGAACAACUCCGGGAAACUGGAGCUAAUACCGUAUACGUCCUUCGGGAGAAAGAUUUAUCGGAGAUGGAUGAGCCCGCGUUGGAUUAGCUAGUUGGUGGGGUAAUGGCCUACCAAGGCGACGAUCCAUAGCUGGUCUGAGAGGAUGAUCAGCCACAUUGGGACUGAGACACGGCCCAAACUCCUACGGGAGGCAGCAGUGGGGAAUAUUGGACAAUGGGCGAAAGCCUGAUCCAGCCAUGCCGCGUGAGUGAUGAAGGCCCUAGGGUUGUAAAGCUCUUUCAACGGUGAAGAUAAUGACGGUAACCGUAGAAGAAGCCCCGGCUAACUUCGUGCCAGCAGCCGCGGUAAUACGAAGGGGGCUAGCGUUGUUCGGAAUUACUGGGCGUAAAGCGCACGUAGGCGGAUAUUUAAGUCAGGGGUGAAAUCCCGGGGCUCAACCCCGGAACUGCCUUUGAUACUGGGUAUCUCGAGUCCGAGAGAGGUGAGUGGAAUUCCGAGUGUAGAGGUGAAAUUCGUAGAUAUUCGGAGGAACACCAGUGGCGAA
rnacentral:rRNA from 8 species